GACGAACGCUGGCGGCGUGCCUAAUACAUGCAAGUUGAGCGCUGAAGGUUGGUACUUGUACCAACUGGAUGAGCAGCGAACGGGUGAGUAACGCGUGGGGAAUCUGCCUUUGAGCGGGGGACAACAUUUGGAAACGAAUGCUAAUACCGCAUAAAAACUUUAAACACAAGUUUUAAGUUUGAAAGAUGCAAUUGCAUCACUCAAAGAUGAUCCCGCGUUGUAUUAGCUAGUUGGUGAGGUAAAGGCUCACCAAGGCGAUGAUACAUAGCCGACCUGAGAGGGUGAUCGGCCCCAUUGGGACUGAGACACGGCCCAAACUCCUACGGGAGGCAGCAGUAGGGAAUCUUCGGCAAUGGACGAAAGUCUGACCGAGCAACGCCGCGUGAGUGAAGAAGGUUUUCGGAUCGUAAAACUCUGUUGGUAGAGAAGAACGUUGGUGAGAGUGGAAAGCUCAUCAAGUGACGGUAACUACCCAGAAAGGGACGGCUAACUACGU
rnacentral:rRNA from 1 species